GAUGAACGCUGGCGGCGUGCCUAAUACAUGCAAGUCGAGCGAACAGACGAGGAGCUUGCUCCUCUGACGUUAGCGGCGGACGGGUGAGUAACACGUGGAUAACCUACCUAUAAGACUGGGAUAACUUCGGGAAACGGGAGCUAAUACCGGAUAAUAUAUUGAACCGCAUGGUUCAAUAGUGAAAGACGGUUUUGCUGUCACUUAUAGAUGGAUCCGCGCCGCAUUAGCUAGUUGGUAAGGUAACGGCUUACCAAGGCAACGAUGCGUGGCCGACCUGAGAGGGUGAUCGGCCACACUGGAACUGAGACACGGUCCAGACUCCUACGGGAGGCAGCAGUAGGGAAUCUUCCGCAAUGGGCGAAAGCCUGACGGAGCAACGCCGCGUGAAUGAUGAAGGUCUUCGGAUCGUAAAACUCUGUUAUUAGGGAAGAACAAAUGUGUAAGUAACUAUGCACGUCUUGACGGUACCUAAUCAGAAAGCCACGGCUAACUACGUG
rnacentral:rRNA from 1 species